rnacentral:rRNA from 1 species
AUUGAACGCUGGCGGCAUGCUUUACACAUGCAAGUCGAACGGCAGCGCGGGCUUCGGCCUGGCGGCGCGUGGCGAACGGGUGAGUAAUACAUCUGUACGUGCCCAGUAGUGGGGGAUAGCUCGGCGAAAUCCGGAUUAAUACCGCAUACGACCUGAGGGUGAAAGCGGGGGAUCUUCGGACCUCGCGCUCUUGGAGCGGCCGAUGGCAGCUUAGCUAGUUGGUGGGGUAAAGGCCUACCAAGGCGACGAUCUGUAGCUGGUCUGAGAGGACGACCAGCCACACUGGAACUGAGACACGGCCCAGACUCCUACGGGAGGCAGCAGUGGGGAAUUUUGGACAAUGGGCGAAAGCCUGAUCCAGCAAUGCCGCGUGUGUGAUGAAGGCCUUCGGGUUGUAAAGCACUUUUGGCGGGAACGAAAAGGACUGUGCCAAUACCACGGUUCGAUGACGGUACCCGCAGAAGAAGCACCGGCUAACUACGUG